rnacentral:misc_RNA from 1 species
GAUGAAGAACGUAGCGAAAUGCGAUAAGUAAUGUGAAUUGCAGAAUUCAGUGAAUCAUCGAAUCUUUGAACGCACCUUGCGCCCCUUGGUUAUUCCAAAGGGCAUGCCUGUUUGAGUAUCAUGAACACCUCAACUCUUGUGGUUUCCCACAAUGAGCUUGGACUGUGGAGGUUUUGUUGGCCCUGUGGUCAGCUCCUCUCAAAUGGAUCAGCUUACCGGUGUUUGGUGGCAUUACGGGUGUGAUAACUAUCUACGCUCGUGGUCGUCUCCAAAUAACAUCCAGUGAUGGAGGUUCGCUGGAGCUUAUAAAUGUCUCUCCCCAGUGAAGACAGCCUUUGAACGUUCGAUCUCAAAUCAGGUAGGACUACCCGCUGAACUUAAGCAUAUCAAUAAGCGGAGGA